rnacentral:rRNA from 1 species
CCUACGGGUGACAGCAGUGAGGAAUCUUGGUCAAUGGUCGGGAGACUGAACCAGCCAAGCCGCGUGAGGGAUGAAGGUACAGAGUAUCGUAAACCUCUUUUGUCAGGGAACAAAGGCGGGGACGUGUCCCCGGAUGCGUGUACCUGAAGAAAACACAUCGGCUAACUCCGUGCCAGCCGCCGCGGUAAGACGGAGGAUUCAAGCGUUAUCCGGAUUGAUUGGGUUUAACGGGUGCGUAGGCGGUCGGAUAAGUUAGUGGUGAAAUCCCGAGGCUCAACUUCGGAAUUGCCUCUGAUACUGUGCGGCUAGAGAGUAGUUGCGGUAGGCGGAAUGUAUGGUGUAGCGGUGAAAUGCUUAGAGAUCAUACAGAACACCGAUUGCGAAGGCAGCUUACCAAGCUACUUCUGACGUUGAGGCACGAAAGCGUGGGGAGCAAACAGGAUUAGAUACCCCUGUAGUC